rnacentral:lncRNA from 1 species
AUGUGCAUAGAACAAUCUCCAGAAGGGGAAGUCUGGUGGAGCUCUUUGCUGGGAAAUGUCCAUGAAAGCAAGCAAGCAACCAAGAAAGUCCAGGAGAAGUGGUGCCAGGGCUGCACCCACCUCCUGGGAAGAGUGGUUCUGGAAAGACAAGGCGAGGAGAGAAGGAGCUGUACAGCAAGAUCAUCAAAGCAAUUUUUAUGUUUGCAGCUUCUCAAUUACCAGAAAGCUACAGAGGUAUGGAGAUACAGUGCUGUUAAUUUGGGGAAAUUAUUAGAGGUUGCUUCACACGAUGAUAUGGACUUCAGUUAUUCAAGAGGAGUUAUCUCUAUCCUGAUGAGAAAUGAGAAGAUCACAGAAUUUCUGCCCAGAACAGUGUUGUUGCUCUCUGUUGAUGAAGUCUUUGGAAAGGACCUGUCUUCCUCACUGAUCUCACACUGUAAUUUCUUCAUGCUCCCAACCGGUUUGGGUCAGUGAUGGAAUAUAUAAGCCCUCAGGAGCCACAGAGAUGUGUUUGUGUUGUCUGGUGUGGUACCUGCUCUGUUCCUCGUCGGUACCUUGGCAACUGGUGAAUGAUUUUAGCGCAUCAAGGAAGAAGAAGCCAAAGAGUUGCAUGAAGGCCAGAAGGUAUAUUUUUCUUCCCAGCAGAGGAACCUGUUAGUUGGUAGAUGUCUUUUCCCUGUUGUGAGGAGAAAUGACUACUGUUCCACCAAAUCAAGGGACAAACAAAUCCACAAGCAUUAUUUUCCUUGAAUAGGACUAGAUUUAGUCUUGGACUGACUGUGGCUGCUGAGUCAGUCCGGGUGCAUCUGAAAAUCUCGUAGUAACGUUCAGAAAGAGCUGACGACAGCAGGAGCAUCGUUGCCUCAGCUGGAACUAAAACUCCAGAACUUUUGUGGAGAUACCCUGAGGUUUCAACUAGCAAGCACCCUGGUGGCUAGAACUAGCAUUGCCUCCUUCAUCAGACGUCUGAAAGCUGCCCUGUAACCUGUCCAUAUCCUGAAUGAUCCUGAGCCUGCUGAACCUACGAGAAGCACAAGUCGUGGCAGUAAGCGUAUGGCUUUACAUGGCAUUUAUUUCCCAUGUGAAAUUAUGACAGCAUACAGAGAGAAAAAAUUAAUUAGUUUAGCAUUUAAUAAAUGAAUGUCUGUACGUACUUUUGAAGAUUUA